UAGGGAAUCUUCGGCAAUGGACGAAAGUCUGACCGAGCAACGCCGCGUGAGUGAAGAAGGAUUUCGGAUCGUAAAACUCUGUCGUUAGAGAAGAACAAGGACGUUAGUAACUGAACGUCCCCUGACGGUAUCUAACCAGAAAGCCACGGCUAACUACGUGCCAGCAGCGGCGUUAAUACGUAGGUGGCAAGCGUUGUCCGGAUUUAUUGGGCGUAAAGCGAGCGCAGGCGGUUUAUUAAGUCUGGUGUGAGAGCCCCCGACUAAACGGGGGAGGGUCAUUGGAAAAUGUGAGACUUGAGUGCAAAAGAGGAGAGUGGAAUUGCAUGUGUAGCGAAGAAAUGCGUAGAGUGAUGGAGGAACACCAGUGGCGAAGGCUGCUGUCUGGUCUGUAACAGACGCUGAGGCACGAAAGCGUGGGGAGCAAACAGG
rnacentral:rRNA from 1 species